rnacentral:rRNA from 1 species
UACGGAGGGUGCAAGCGUUAUCCGGAUUCACUGGGCUUAAAGGGUGCGUAGGCGGGCAGGUAAGUCAGUGGUGAAAUCUCCAAGCUUAACUUGGAAACUGCCGUUGAUACUAUCUGUCUUGAAUAUUGUGGAGGUGAGCGGAAUAUGUCAUGUAGCGGUGAAAUGCUUAGAUAUGACAUAGAACACCAAUUGCGAAGGCAGCUCACUACACAAUCAUUGACUCUGAGGCACGAAAGCGUGGGGAUCGAACAGG